rnacentral:lncRNA from 1 species
ACCAACCACAGAAAGCUUGGAAUUCUACCAAUAUAUCAUAACAGUUCACAAACAAUUACAUGGGAAGCAACAGAGUACAAAGCUCAACCACAGAUUACAGAGAAAGUAAGGUUAUUACCCUAUAAUGGUUUACCCUUGAUAAAAGACGCUGACUUUGCUAUGAAACCCUACAUCGAGUGCAAAUCGUUACAUAACACUAAACUUCAACACAUCGUUACAUAACACUAUAAACUUCAACACGGUGAUGGAAGAGUGUAUAGGGUUAGCCCUCAAUGAAGGACACCAUUGAAGAAUGAGGGACUCUGUUGCACAGUAAGUCGAGCAAAACUUCGGGGCUGAAACGGGGUCAGUAAGAAAAAACAGUGUUUGAAAUGGAUUCAUCAGAAACAAAUGGAUCAAAUGCAUCAGUAAGCAAAGCGUACUAAACGCCUGCCAUCAGACGACCGUCGUGAGAUGAAAUCCAAGAGUCAUCACUUGAAUGUUCACAACAUUACGAAUUUACAGAGAAAAUUAAUAUAUGAGGUGUUUCCAGGACUAUAUGGCACUGAAAAAUCAACCACUAAUCAGGAUAAGCCACACAGAUGAAACAUGAAUCUGGCACCCGAGCCAUUACACCGUGAGGAACCUUAAUCUCAUCCUCCGGAAUUGGUAAUGGGUGCAAAAAAGACACUCAAUUUCAAAGACCAGUUGAAACAAACAUUCAAAUAACAGAUUCAAAACAGAUGGAAAGCUCAGUGGAAGGAGAAGUCGUUUUGAUUUGAGGCUCACGGCGGCAGUUCUCCGAUUAAGGAAAACCACCGUCCACUGCACUGAAACACACCUCCGUGUGCUUAAACUCAUCACAGCAAUCCAAAAUCUUCACAAACCCUAGUUAAGAACAAUUGAAAAUUCAAAUAAGGGGGCUUCAGUGUGUGUAACAAUCAGAUCAUAGCUUUCAGCUCACUGAAAUCCGCUAAGAUAAAGUAUGUUAUCAUCAUAAGCCACAUACAAACGAAAUUGAAAGAUUAUUAAGAAGAUCGGAUUUGAUAAAGAGCGCAUCAGACAGCCAAGGGUUGAGUCGUCAAAUCGAUGGGAGAAGAAGCCCGAAUCAGAAACUCUAGUCCACAAAACAUAUUGCUUCAUCACAGCGCUCAUCGGAAACAAAAAUCAGACUAAAACAACGAUGAAAAUUAACGAAACCUUCCAAAUUGAAGAUGGUGAUUAAACUGUGCAGGGGAAGUGAAGCUAUGGAGAUUGACGCCUGUGGAGAGAAGGAUUUAUAGGGAGAGGUGAAGCUAUAUUGGGGAACUCGGCACUGCGGCGCCAUGGGAGGAUAACUAGGGUUUACGGAGGUUGGAGUUUGAGCUGGUCUUAAAUUUUUGAAAAAAGCCCA